rnacentral:rRNA from 1 species
CAAAAACAUCUUUUCUUGGGGGGUAGGAAAUAGUCUCUGCUCAGUGGUAGUUAAAUAGCCGCAGUAUUUUAACUGUGCUAAGGUAGCAUAAUAAUUUGUCUUAUAAUAGAGGGCUGGAAUGAAAGAGUUGACGGUGUCAAGGCUUUUUAAAAAUAGGGGUUGGAAUUUAGUUUUUGUGUAAAAAAACGCAGAUUUUCUUAAGGGACGAUAAGACCCUGUAAAACUUAACUUAAUAUUUUUCUUUAAAGCAGGAAUUUAAGGGAGAAUUUUGGUUUAGCUGGGGCGGUAAUUUUAUUUCUGGGAUAAAGGUGACAAGUUUUUUGGGUGUCUAGAUCUUAAAAAAGAGUAGAAUAAGUUACUUUAGGGAUAACAGCGUAAUUUUUUAUAAUAGAUCUCAUAGAUUUAAAAGACUUACGACCUCGAUGUUGAAUUGAAGGGUCUCUGGCGAAAGUAGAAAUUUGAAGAGAGGGUCUGUUCGACCCUUAGUUCUUC